rnacentral:rRNA from 1 species
GAGUUUGAUCAUGGCUCAAAACGAACGCUGGCGGCAUGCCUAACACAUGCAAGUCGAACGAGACCUUCGGGUCUAGUGGCGCACGGGUGCGUAACGCGUGGGAACCUGCCCUUAGGUUCGGAAUAACUCAANGAAAUUUGAGCUAAUACCGGAUAAUGUCUUCGGACCAAAGAUUUAUCGCCUUUGGAUGGGCCCGCGUUGGAUU